CGCGUUUUUCGCUCAGGCGGAGCUCGACCGCCGACUCAAGUGAUCGUGGCCUACAUCGACUCCUACCGGAGCCGGUUCGGCGCCCGUGCCGAUCUGCGCGGUGCUGAGUGAGCACGGCAUCCCGAUCGCGCCG
rfam:Tetrasphaera japonica T1-X7 genomic scaffold, 1540_scaffold1